UUCCGGUUGAUCCUGCCGGACCCCCACUGCUAUCGGGGUGGGACUAAUACAUGCUAAUCGUGCGCCUCCAAGCCACGGUGGAGGCGCGGCGCACAGCUCAGUAACACGUGGCUAACCUACCCUUGGGACGGGGACUACCCCGGGAAACUGGGGCUAAUCCCCGAUAGGUGAGGACUCCUGGAAUGGAUCCUCGCCGAAAGGGCGCCUAGACCAUGCUUCUAGGCGUCGCCCAAGGAUGGGGCCGCGGCCGAUCAGGUAGUUGGUGAGGUAACGGCUCACCAAGCCUAUAACCGGUACGGGCCGUGGGAGCGGGAGCCCGGAGAUGGACACUGAGACAAGGGUCCAGGCCCUACGGGGCGCAGCAGUCGCGAAACCUUCGCAAUACGCGAAAGCGUGACGGGGCCACCCCGAGUGCCGUCUGCUGAGGACGGCUUUUCCCCAGUGUAGCCAGCUGGGGGAAUAAGGGGAGGGCAAGUCGGGUGUCAGCCGCCGCGGUAAUACCCGCUCCCCGAGUGGUGGGGACGCUUAUUGGGCCUAAAGCAUCCGUAGCCUGCUGGAUAAGUCCCCUGUUAAAUCCAGCGAUUCAAUCGCUGGACUGCGGGGGAUACUGUCCAGCUAGGGGGCGGGAGAGGCCGGCGGUAUUCCCGGGGUAGGGGUGAAAUCUUAUAAUCCCGGGAGGACCACCAGUGGCGAACGCUGCCGGCUAGAACGCGCCCGACUGUGAGGGAUGACAUCUGGGGGAGCGAACCGGAUUAGAUACCCGGGUAGUCCCAGCUGUAAACGGUGCGGGCUAGGUGUUGGCACGGCUACGAGCCGUGUCAUUGCCGCAUGGUAGCCGUUACGCCCGCCGCCUGGGGAGUACGGCCGCAAGGCUGAUACUUAAAGGAAUUCGUCGGGGGAGCACCACUCAGUGUGAAGCUUGC
rnacentral:rRNA from 1 species